UACAGAGGUCUCAAGCGUUGUUCGGAUUCAUUGGGCGUAAAGGGUGCGUAGGUGGCCAACUAAGUCAGACGUGAAAUCCCUCGGCUUAACCGGGGAACUGCGUCUGAUACUGGAUGGCUUGAGUUCGGGAGAGGGAUGCGGAAUUCCAGGUGUAGCGGUGAAAUGCGUAGAUAUCUGGAGGAACACCGGUGGCGAAGGCGGCAUCCUGGACCGAUACUGACACUGAGGAGCGAAAGCCAGGGGAGCAAACGGG
rnacentral:rRNA from 1 species